rnacentral:rRNA from 1 species
UUUCGCAAUGCCCGAAAGGGUGACGAAGCGACGCCGCGUGAGUGAGGAAGGCCUUCGGGUUGUAAAGCUCUGUCAGGAGUUAAGAAAUAUAAGUGUGCUAAUGCCACAUUUAUUUGACGAAGGCUCCAAAGGAAGCCACGGCUAACUCUGUGCCAGCAGCCGCGGUAAUACAGAGGUGGCAAGCGUUGUUCGGAAUUAUUGGGCGUAAAGAGCACGUAGGUGGGUUUGUAAGUCAGAUGUGAAAGCCUUCUGUUCAACGGAAGAAUUGCAUCUGAAACUGCGAGUCUUGAGUGUAGGAGGGGAGAAUGGAACUUCUGGUGGAGCGGUGAAAUGCGUAGAUAUCAGGAGGAACGCCGGCGGCGAAAGCGAUUCUCUGGCCUAUUACUGACACUCAGUGUGCGAAAGCUAGGGGAGCAAACGGGAUUAGAUACCCCGGUAGUCCUAGCCGUAAACGAUGGGCACUAAGUAGAGGGGUUUUA